GGGGGGGGGGGGGGGGGGGGGGGGGGGGGGGGGGGGGGGGGGGGGGGGGGGGGUCGGCCGGGCGGCGGGGGGCGGGGGGGUGAGGAGUGCGGGGGAGCGUGCCGAGUGUGGGGGGCGAGCCCGGCGCGAACCGGUUAAGUAGCGCAUGCGACGUGGGGGGACAAGCGGCGGCCGGCCAGGCGUCGCGGCAUGGGAGCGGGGGAUGGGGGAUUAGCUAGUUGGUGGGGUAAUGGCUUACCAAGGGGACGAUCCGUGUCUGGUCUGAGAGGACGCCCAGCCACACUGGGACUGAGACACGGCCCAGACUCCUACGGGAGGAAGCAGUGGGGAAUUUUGGACAAUGGGGGCAACCCUGAUCCAGCCAUGCCGCGUGCGGGAAGAAGGCCUUCGGGUUGUAAACCGCUUUUGUUCGGGAAGAAAUCCUCUGGGCUAAUACCCCGGGGGGAUGACGGUACCGGAAGAAUAAGCACCGGCUAACUACGUG
rnacentral:rRNA from 1 species